rnacentral:rRNA from 1 species
UACGUAGGGGGCUAGCGUUGUCCGGAUUCAUUGGGCGUAAAGGGUGCGUAGGUGGCGCUGUAAGUCGGGUGUGAAAUUUCGGAGCUCAACUCCGAAACUGCAUUCGAUACUGCGGUGCUUGAGGACUGGAGAGGAGACUGGAAUUCAUGGUGUAGCAGUGAAAUGCGUAGAGAUCAUGAGGAAGACCAGUGGCGAAGGCGGGUCUCUGGACAGUUCCUGACACUGAGGCACGAAGGCCAGGGGAGCAAACGGG